rnacentral:rRNA from 1 species
CUACGGGGGGCACCAGUCGAGAAUCUUCCGCAAUGGGCGCAAGCCUGACGGAGCGACACCGCGUGCAGGAUGAAGGCCUUAGGGUUGUAAACUGCUGUCACGCCAUAGGAAAGGCGCGUGGUCAAUAUCCACGUGUUUGACCAAAGCGAAAGGAAGCACCGGCUAACUCCGUGCCAGCAGCCGCGGUAAGACGGAGGGUGCAAACGUUGUUCGGAAUCACUGGGCAUAAAGCGCACGUAGGCGGCCAUUCAAGUCAGGUGUGAAAGCCCACGGCUCAACCGUGGAACUGCACUUGAAACUGAUUGGCUAGAGGACGGUUGGGGUGAGUGGAACUCCUGGUGGAGCGGUGAAAUGCGUAGAUAUCAGGAGGAACACCAGUGGCGAAAGCGGCUCACUGGACCGUAACUGACGCUCAGGUGCGAAAGCUAGGGUAGCGAACGGGAUUAGAUACCCUGGUAGUC